AUUAGCUAGUUGGUGAGGUAACGGCUCACCAAGGCGACGAUGUCUAGGGGUUCUGAGAGGAUUCACCCCCACACUGGUACUGAGACACGGACCAGACUCCUACGGGAGGCAGCAGUAAGGAAUAUUGGGCAAUGGACGCAAUUCUGACCCAGCCAUGCCGCGUGCAGGAUGACAGCCCUACGGGUUGUAAACGGCUAACUCCGUGCCAGCAGCCGCGGUAAUACGGAGGAUGCAAGCGUUAUCCGGAUUCAUUGGGUUUAAAGGUUGCGCAGGCGGAACGGUAAGUCAGUGGUGAAAUCCUACAGCUUAACUGUAGAACUGCCAUUGAUACUGUCGCUCUUGAGUACACUUGAAGUGGGCGGAAUGUGUCAUGUAGCGGAAAUGCUUAGAUAUGACACAGAACACCGAUCCCGAAGGCAGCUCACUAAAGUGAAACUGACGCUCAUGCACGAAAGCGUGGGGAUCAAACAGGAUUAGAUACCCUGGUAGUACGCUGUAAACGAUGAUUACUCGAUGUUGGCGAGACACUGUCAGCGUCUAAGCGAAAGCAUUAAGUAAUCCACCUGGGGAGUACGGCCGCAAG
rnacentral:rRNA from 1 species